rnacentral:rRNA from 1 species
GUCGAGGGGUAACAGAGGUAGCUCGCUACUUGCUGACGACCGGCGCACGGGUGAGUAACGCGUAUGCAACCUACCUUUUACAGGGGGAUAGCCAGAAGAAAUUCUGAUUAAUACCCCAUAAUAUUAUAGUCCGGCAUUGGAUUAUAAUUAAAGUUUCGGCGGUAAAAGAUGGGCAUGCGUUUUAUUAGUUAGUUGGUAAGGUAACGGCUUACCAAGACUACGAUAAAUAGGGGUCCUGAGAGGGAGAUCCCCCACACUGGUACUGAGACACGGACCAGACUCCUACGGGAGGCAGCAGUGAGGAAUAUUGGACAAUGGAGGAGACUCUGAUCCAGCCAUGCCGCGUGCAGGAAGACGGCCCUAUGGGUUGUAAACUGCUUUUAUACAGGAAGAAACCUUCUCACGUGUGAGAAGCUGACGGUACUGUAAGAAUAAGCACCGGCUAACUCCGUGCCAGCAGCCGCGGUAAUACGGAGGGUGCAAGCGUUAUCCGGAAUCAUUGGGUUUAAAGGGUCCGUAGGCGGACUAUUAAGUCAGAGGUGAAAUCCCACAGCUCAACUGUGGAACUGCCUUUGAUACUGAUAGUCUUGAGUUAUAAGGAAGUAGAUAGAAUAUGUAGUGUAGCGGUGAAAUGCAUAGAGAUUACAUAGAAUACCGAUUGCGAAGGCAGUCUACUACUUAUAUACUGACGCUAAGGGACGAAAGCGUGGGGAGCGAACGGGAUUAGAUACCCCGGUAGUCCACGCCGUAAACGAUGGACACUAGUUGUUGGAUUAUUUCAGUGACUAAGCGAAAGUGAUAAGUGUCCCACCUGGGGAGUACGAUCGCAAGAUUGAAACUCAAAGGAAUUGACGGGGG